UACGGAGGGGGCUAGCGUUGUUCGGAAUUACUGGGCGUAAAGCGCACGUAGGCGGCGAUUUAAGUCAGAGGUGAAAGCCCGGGCUCAACCCCGGAAUAGCCUUUGAGACUGGAUUGCUAGAAUCUUGGAGAGGCGAGUGGAAUUCCGAGUGAUGAGAGGUGAAAUUCGUAGAUAUUCGGAAGAACACCAGUGGCGAGGCGGCUCGCUGGACAAGUAAUUGACGC
rnacentral:rRNA from 1 species